rnacentral:rRNA from 1 species
UCAAGUUAUUAAGGGUGCAGGGCGGAUGCCUUGGCACUAGGAGCCGAUGAAGGACGUGAUAAGCUGCGAUAAGCUUCGGGGAGUUGCACGUAAACUUUGAUCCGAAGAUUUCCGAAUGAGGAAACUCACUUAGAGUAAUGUCUAAGUAUCAUUAAGUGAAUACAUAGCUUAAUGAGGGGAACUCAGGGAACUGAAACAUCUAAGUACCUGAAGGAAGAGAAAGAAAUUCGAUUCCGUAAGUAGCGGCGAGCGAACGCGGAUUAGCCCAAACCAAUAAAGUUUUCUUUAUUGGGGUUGCGGACAUAUCAUAACGAAGAGGUAUCGUAAUUGAAGAGGUUUGGAAAGACCCACCACAGAAGGUAAUAGUCCUGUAUGUUAAACGAGAAGACUUUAGAUAUGAUCCAGAGUACCACGGGACACGUGAAACCCUGUGGGAAGCAGGAGGGACCACCCUCCAAGGCUAAAUACUACCUAGUGACCGAUAGCGUAUAGUACCGUGAGGGAAAGGUGAAAAGAACCCCGGGAGGGGAGUGAAAUAGAACCUGAAACCCUGCACUUACAAGCUGUGGAAGCACAUUUCUUGUGUGACCGCGUACUUUUUGUAGAACGGGCCAACGAGUUACGUUAAGUAGCAAGGUUAAGCACUUAAGGUGCGGAGCCGUAGCGAAAGCGAGUUUUAACUGAGCGUUCAGUUACUUGACGUAGACCCGAAACCGGGCGACCUACCCAUGAGCAGGAUGAAGCGAAAGUAAAAUUUCGUGGAGGUCCGAACCCACGAGCGUUGAAAAGCUCGGGGAUGACUUGUGGGUAGCGGUGAAAUUCCAAUCGAGCCCGGAGAUAGCUGGUUCUCCCCGAAAUAGCUUUAGGGCUAGCCUCAAGGUGAGAGAUACGGAGGUAGAGCACUGAAUGUCCUAGGGGGUAUUGCACCUACCGAAGACUAUCAAACUCCGAAUGCCGUCAUCUUAUACUUGGGAGUCAGACUGUGGGUGAUAAGAUUCAUAGUCGAAAGGGCAACAGCCCAGAUCGUCAGCUAAGGUCCCUAAAUGUAAGUUAAGUGGUAAAGGAUGUGGGAUUGCACAGACAACCAGGAUGUUGGCUUAGAAGCAGCCACUCAUUCAAAGAGUGCGUAAUAGCUCACUGGUCGAGUGAUCCUGCGCCGAAGAUUUCCGGGGCUAAAACUUACUACCGAAGCUACGGCAUCAGUAAUGAUGGGUAGGGGAGCUUCCCAUACGGGUUGAAGCAUGACCGUAAGGACAUGUGGACAGUAUGGGAGUGAGAAUGUUGGCAUGAGUAGCGAGAUGUGGGUGAGAAUCCCACAGGCCGUAAACCCAAGGUUUCCAGGGGAAGGUUCGUCCGCCCUGGGUUAGUCGGGACCUAAGCUGAGGCCGAAAGGCGUAGGUGAUGGACAACAGGUUGAUAUUCCUGUACUACCGAUAACCGUUUGAGAGAAGGGAUGACACAGUAGGAUAAGCUAAGCACACUGUUGGUUAUGUGUGCCCAAGCAUUGAGGCAGUCAAAGUAGGCAAAUCCGCUUUGAUAAUGCUAGGAUGUGAUGGGGAGCGAAAUUUAGUAGCGAAGUAGCUGAUUUCACACUGUCAAGAAAAGUCUCUAUCGAGGUUAAAGGUACCCGUACCGCAAACCGACACAGGUGGGUGAGGAGAGUAUCCUAAGGCCAGCGAGAGAACUGUUGUUAAGGAACUCGGCAAAAUGACCCCGUAACUUAGGGAUAAGGGGUGCCACCAUCAGGUGGCCGCAGAGAAUAGGCCCAAGCGACUGUUUACCAAAAACAUAGGUUUCUGCUAAGUCGCAAGACGAUGUAUAGGAGCUGACGCCUGCCCGGUGCUGGAAGGUUAAGGGGAUCUGUUAGAGCAAUCGAAGCAGUGAACUUAAGCCCCAGUAAACGGCGGCCGUAACUAUAACGGUCCUAAGGUAGCGAAAUUCCUUGUCGGGUAAGUUCCGACCCGCACGAAAGGCGUAACGAUUUGGGCACUGUCUCAACAACAGACUCGGUGAAAUUGUAAUUCCGGUGAAGAUGCCGGAUACCUGCGACAGGACGGAAAGACCCCAUGGAGCUUUACUGUAGCUUGACAUUGGGUCUUGGUACUACAUGUACAGGAUAGGUGGGAGGCUUUGAAACCAGGACGCCAGUUUUGGCGGAGCCAUCCUUGGGAUACCACCCUUGUAGUACUGGGACUCUAACCAUAGGCCAUGAAUCUGGUCUUGGGACACUGUCAGGUGGGCAGUUUGACUGGGGCGGUCGCCUCCCAAAAGGUAACGGAGGCGCUCAAAGGUUCUCUCAGUACGGUCGGAAAUCGUACGUAGAGUGUAAAGGCAAAAGAGAGCUUGAUUGCAAGACAUACAGGUCGAGCAAGGAUGAAAAUCGGACUUAGUGAUCCGGUGGUUCUGCGUGGAAGGGCCAUCGCUCAACGGAUAAAAGCUACCCUGGGGAUAACAGGCUUAUCUCCCCCAAGAGUCCACAUCGACGGGGAGGUUUGGCACCUCGAUGUCGGCUCAUCACAUCCUGGGGCUGUAGUAGGUCCCAAGGGUUGGGCUGUUCGCCCAUUAAAGUGGUACGCGAGCUGGGUUCAGAACGUCGUGAGACAGUUCGGUCCCUAUCCGUCGCAGGCGUAGGAAAUUUGAGAAGACCUGUCCUUAGUACGAGAGGACCGGGAUGGACGUACCUCUGGUGUACCAGUUGUCCUGCCAAGGGCAUGGCUGGGUAGCUAUGUACGGAAUGGAUAAGCGCUGAAAGCAUCUAAGCGCGAAGCCAACUUCAAGAUAAGAUUUCCCACCGCAAGGGUAAGACCCCAGAAAGACUAUCUGGUUGAUAGGUCGAAGGUGUAAGUGCAGCAAUGUAUUUAGCUUAUCGAUACUAAUAGGUCGAGGACUUGACCAA